CCUACGGGGGGCUGCAGUAGGGAAUUUUCGGCAAUGGGGGGAACCCUGACCGAGCAACGCCGCGUGAACGAAGAAGUUAUUCGUAAUGUAAAGUUCUUUCAACAGGGAAGAAAGAGAAAUUUGACGGUACCUGAACAAUAAGCUCCUGCAAACUCCGUGCCAGCAGCCGCGGUAAUGCGUAGGGAGCGAGCGUUAUCCGGAAUUAUUGGGCGAAAAGGGUGCGUAGAUGGACUAGUAAGUCUUUUGUAAAACUGCUGGGCUCAACCCAGUAGGGCAAAAGAAACUGCAAAGCUAGAGUAUGACAGAGGCAAGUGGAACUACAAGUGUAGCGGUAAAAUGCGUAAAUAUAUGUAGGAACACCAGUGGCGAAGGCGGCUUGCUGGGUCGAUACUGACAUUGAGGCACGAAAGCGUGGGGAGCAAACAGGAUUAGAUACCCGGGUAGUC
rnacentral:rRNA from 1 species